rnacentral:rRNA from 1 species
AGCGAACGCUGGCGGAAUGCUUAACACAUGCAAGUCGCACGGGGGCUUCGGCCUUAGUGGCGGACGGGUGAGUAACGCGUAGGAACGUGUCUUGGGGGUGGGGAUAACGCUGGGAAACUGGCGCUAAUACCGCAUGUCUGCUGUGGCAGAAAGCCUUCGGGUGCCUUGAGAGCGGCCUGCGUCCGAUUAGCUAGUUGGUGGGGUAAAGGCUUACCAAGGCGACGAUCGGUAGCNGGUCUGAGAGGACGAUCAGCCACACUGGGACUGAGACACGGCCCAGACUCCUACGGGAGGCAGCAGGUGGGGAAUAUUGGACAAUGGGCGCAAGCCUGAUCCAGCAAUUCCGCGUGGGUGAAGAAGGUCUUCGGAUUGU